UGCCUGGAAAAUCUGAGUUGCUAAGAGCUGGGAUCGUCCCAGAUACUCCUAGGAAGAUAAAAAAGAAAGUGGGACCGAGUUCAUUAAUCGUGACUAAGAAAACCCUUUACGCUUCUUUUCAGCUCGUGACUAUAGAGAGCGGCCCCUCAAGUCGGUAUUACCCUGCCCAAGGUUCUCUUCCAGAAGCUGGACACUUCUCCUGAAGAUUCUGUCUUUAUUCAGAGUAUUUUUCGAAGUUCUUUAUUGGUGGCCAGAUCUGGAAACUCUGAAGGCCAUUCCUCAAGAGGAAUUCAAGGAGCACUUGGGGUGACGCCACCGUAUUCGUUCUGAGAAGAUAAUGCUGAAGGGGUCUCUCUUGAGAAGUCCUCGCGUGAUGAACUCAUUCGGGUAACGUAUCGAGCUGGGCGCCGAGGAUACGCGGCGCAUGAGAACAAUAUGGCCCCCGUUGGCCUCCAGUCUGGAUCUGGAAUUCGACCGUAUUAGUCAGGAUGGGUUAUGCUAUGCUGCAGUGACACAUAAACCCCGGAACCUCAUUUCCGUAACACAGAAAAGGUUUAUUUCUCACUCAUGCAAGUCCUCUAUCAGGUUGGACAACUUUCCAGGCCAGCUGCUGUCCACGAAGCGACUCAUGGAUCCAGGGUCCUUCCAUCUUAUGAAUUUGGGACAGAACCAGUCACAAGGCCCCACCUACUUCAAGGGGAUUGGAGACAAUACCGCCCUCCCACACGCUCGGGAAGAAGAGGAGAAACGGGUGUGUGGGAGCACUAGAAGCCUACCACAUCCACUCUGGGGUUUAAUUUGCCUUAUGCCUCUUGAAGUUUGUUUUUUUUUCAAAAAAAAAAAAAAGCUUAAGUUCUGGUGGUAGAGAGAAUACUGUAUAAACAGAUGGCAAUGAGCACUAUGAAGGAAAAUUUUAGGAUGGCAUGAAAACACAUAUCAGAAUAUGCCAAUUUAGAAUAGGGCGGGAUUUUUUAUCUGCUUUGUUCGGUAAUAUCUCCCAAGUACCUAGAAAGUACCCAAAAAUAUUUGCGAAUAAAUGUGAAAGUGAGUGCUCCAAGUAUUUGGUAAGUCAAUAAAAGAAUGGUGUGGUCUCAAAAAAAAAUCUCACCCUUUGUUCAAAAAAAAGAGAAUGUUGAUUAUCUACCCAGUAGCCAUUACCCGUCAGAGGGAACAGGUCGGUGGAAUAUAUAUAUUCUACAUAUAUGUGAUAUGUUAUAUAAUAUUCAUAGAUGUUUAUAAUAUGUGUAAUAUACAGUUGAAGCUUGAAUAACAAGGUCUGAACUGUACAGGUUCACUUCUCCAGAGAUUCUUUUUUUAAAUGUUUUUACUUAUUUUUGAGACAGAGAGAGACAGAGCAUGAGCAGGGGAGGGGCAGAAAGAGAGGGAGACACAGAAUCCGAAGCAGGUUCCA